rnacentral:misc_RNA from 1 species
AACAAGAACAAAAUAACUAUUACAACAGCCAACAGCAAAACAGAAUAACUACUACAACAACUGAAAUUACAUUCCAAAACAAAGAUUGAAUCUUUUUCUGCUCAUCCCAUGUCUAAAUUCAAAAUAUCAGAUUAAUUUAGGCUGAAUUAUUGGUUUACCAGAGAUCAUUACAAGCCUUUGUCAUGAAACAUUUGAUUAGGCCAUGUUCCUGUAUCAAACAGGCCACUUAUUCCUCCUCUUUAAGCCCCAAAAAUGUCAUCUUCUUCUUGCUCCCAUAUCAGUGGUGGUGGAGAGAGUGGGCUCCAGGAAUUGUUGAUGCUCCUCUAAGGGAUUCACCAGAAAUUCUAUGCCAUCAGAUGUGCUUUCGAAUCCUGAAUGUCCUUCAUUUAACAGCUCGAGAAAUACUUCCCCGUUAUCAUUUUUCAUUUGGCCAAAGCUUCCCAACUCCUCAUUACUAUUGAUCCUAAUUCCAACAUGACUACAACUGGUAUCAGUAAGGUGUAUCUGAUCAUUCUGUGGAACCGGCUUCCCACAUUUAGGAAUUGAAAUAUAACAAUGGUUUGAGGAUACAUGAAAUGGAUAAUUUGCACAACCAAGGGAAGAUAAGCACAUGGAACCAUUGAGAUUCUUCUGAUUCUGAGCAUGGCUUCUGAAUCCUGGUUGACUUGUCUUCAACAAUUGUGGAUUCAGGAAUUGGGAAGUUUCUCUCUGUAGAUUGAAUGAUGAAAGAUGGUAAUCUCUGAGCAUGGUCUUUUUGAUUGCAUCUUGUUCCCGUUUCAAAUAAAGACGAUAUUUCUGGAAACAACAGCAUUUGUAAGAAAAUCAAUGAAAAAAGGCAUCAAACUUGAAAUCAAGAGAUGCCUGCACAUGCACAUCCUCCAGGAACAGGACACUGGAAGAACAAGAUUUUCAAGAAUUAUUAACAGCGAAAAAAACCUGCAAAUGGCUUGAAAUAUUUUCUUUCUUUAGCCCCGGGACAUUCAUAUGCUUAAGUAUUUUCCUUGGAUGAGCACCUAAAUUGAAAAAUAAGAUAAAAAAAGAGUUCAAAU